UAACAUAGAACAAGUAUGUAUAUACCAUAGACCUAAUAUCACCCUUAGAAUAUAGAUAGAAGGAACGGUAAAUAAACAUUUGAACCCGAUCCCGAAUACAAGAGAGAUGAAAGCUUAGACGCGCCAAUCACAAUUGAGCUAGCCGAAUUGAAAACGUUGCCAGCUCUAUUUUCAGUACGAAGGAUUGAACGAAGGAGAAUAUCAAAAUUUUUCCGACAAUUCAGAUAAAUUGUCGAUGUGGCAACGUGCAUUCGAGAAUUCUGUCAUUUUGUUCUGGUUUUAGACCUCCUCAGCUAAAUCUUCAUAAUUCCUUGUUUUAAUUAUUUUGUAUUUUCAUUUAUAACCAUUAGAAGUGAUAUUAGAUAUGCCUAGCAAGUGUUUUUUGUGUGGUUUCACUUAUAUUGUAGGAGGUGAAAUUAGUCUUCACAGACUUCCAUCGAAUCAACUUGAACGAGAAAAAUGGUUGCAGAGAAUUUCUUGGAACCGACCGGUGUUGGAAAAAAAAAAUUUUCUUUGCUCAAAUCACUUUCCUGAAAAUUGCUUCCGAUUAAUGAUACUAUGAAAGAGGCUUAUACCAGGAAGUUUGCCUUCUCCUUCUGAAAUCAAAUUGGAAAUACCUCUGUACCAGAAGACCAGUCGGCAGACCCCCUAAGCGCUGGAAAGACUCCUGGAUAUCUACAUCCACCGAGGACUAAAGUGGAAUAUACAAGCCCUAGGAUUAAAUUAAGAAGAAGAAGAAAAUCUUCCUCAGAAUAUCAUCAUAUAAUAUAAAAAAAAUUUGUAGGACCUACUCAGAAGGGAAUGGAACUAUUGAAGCACAGGACUUUACAGAAUCUGAUUCUAAAACACAAGAGAGAUUUGAGACUUCAGCUACUUUUAACUCUCCUUCAAAAUCUGCAUCUUCUAGCUAUAGUGACACUAAGAACCUACGGCUUAUCAAAGGAGGUUUGCCUUUAGAAAUUAAAUUGGAAAUACCUCUGACUUACUCAGAAGGGAAUGGAAGUAUUGAAGAACAAGGCUCCACGGAAUCUCUAUAUGAUUCUAAAGUACAAUCUCCAUCAAAAAAAACAAUUGAGAUUUGACACUCCAAUUACCAAUGAUCCAGAAGAAACACUGACUUUAACCUCUCCUUCAAAAUGUGCAUAAUUUAGCUCUAGUGCCACUUCUUUCUCCAAAAUGAAGUCGAGACGGUUUUUCUCAAAUCCCCGCUUAUAUUGGAGACUAUUCACAUCGUUAUUUGGAAAACCCUAUGCUGCGAAAGAAAUACCUUAGGUUGUCUCGAAGAAUCCUGUCCAAUUUCAAGGUCAAAAAUAAAAUAUUGUUUGUGUCCAUCCUGAAGUCAAACAGCACCUAGUCAAAACUACACUUGAGAAAAACCUUGGGGUAUCUUUCCAAUGCCUAUCAAUUUGUAGUUGAUAUCUAUACUCAGGCUGAGAAGACAUUUAGGUGGACAGAAAGGUUUUUUAAUAUAUUCGAUAAAAAUUAUUCGAACUUGUUAUUAUGUCUGGUUCUCACUACAGUGUUGAUCCAAAAUUGUUCAAUGUUUUCAAUCAGCAUCUGUUUAAUGAUGAACCAGGGAGAAUCCAUGGUCCUGCUAUAACGAAAAUGAUUCUUAAUGAUUCUGGAAACUAAUUUCAAUUUGAGGAUUCAUCAUAAAUUGAGAAAUCGACAGAGUGCAAAAUUAUAUUUGAAUCGGUUGAGAAGUAGAUUGAUAAAAACUAUAUUCGAAAAUCAAUAAAAUUUUCUAAUAAUGUUUGAAACCAAUAAUUUUAUUUGUACUGUAUUUCUGUGAUAAAUAUAUUCUGUUGUUUUAUUGAACCGAUAGAUUUUUUCAAUAAUAUUUGUAAACCAAG